rnacentral:lncRNA from 1 species
UCACAUCGCCCGCGUCACCACAAAAUGUUAAACAUCCGGUUGAAAAGUUUUUUUUUGAAAUUCUGUGUGAAGAGUCAGGUUCGAAGAAAGCCUCGAUGUAGGCGAUAGUGUCACAACCGAUGGCCGUGAACUUGUUUCUGGUAUGAGAUAUGGUAAAUUUCGAAAACAAGAACAAAAGUUCGGGAUAUAAACUACGCCCUGAUGAAUUAUAACAGUCAUGACCCAUUAAGUAAUUAUAACUAAAGCGCAAAGAGCCAUCCAGAGAGAUGUCAAGAACUUCUAUAUCACUGUGGCCUAAGAAUGCUUUUGGGGGAUUUAAAGUGGUAUUACAGCGAAUGAAAAAGUGGCUGCUAAUGUUGCAACCAUUGGCUGUACCAAAUGGGUAUGGGAUGCUUAUGUUUCCGCAGUUGCUUUGACAUCCAGGUUUUGCUUGGGCUGCUACUGAAGUUGCCAUAAUUGUUACCAACACUGCAAACACAGCAAGCUCCCUAAACAUACAACCAAACCCCAUCACCGCUCCUGGCUUUCCCCCCCACUCUCUCGGCAUAUGUAAAUCUAGAAUAAAUAGGGAUAAUGUUUCAUGGGUGGUGAGAGUAUUAAGUCUCGCCAUCAAUCAAUAAUUAUUAUUAUUUUAAUAAAUUAUAUUAAAUAUUGAUAAAUUUAUUUUAAUUUUAUAUGUUAAAAAAACCUUUUAAAACAUGUAGAAAAAAAAUAUUAUAUUAAAUUCACAUUCAAUUGAAUCUUUGUCGUUAAUUAAAAUAAAAAGUUAAACCUCUCCAUUAACAAAAUUUAUAGUUGAUCACGUUGAUCGUUAAAAUAAAUUAACGAAUCAAUCAAAGGGUAACACACGACAACUUUCAGUCUAAUCUAAUAAUUUUUAUAAACAAUAUUGAUUAAAAAUCAUAAAAUAUAAAAAAAUCAAAUAUUUAAAAUUAUUAAAAUUGACACAAAUUUAAAAAUUAUAAAAUCUUAUAAAUAGUAUAAAAAUUCUAAUAAAUUAUAAAAAAAAUUAUAAAAAGUGAUUUAAACCUCUAAAACCAUAAUAUACACAUUACAUCACACUAACAGUUGGAUAAUAGGAAUAGUUAUUAGAUUGUUGGGGUCAUUUUCAUAUUAAAUAAAAUGUUCUCAAUAUUUCACAAAUAAAAUGAUAAUUGUUAGAUCCUCUCCUUUUUAUUGAUAAAUUAAUGUUUUUAUUUUUAAAAUUUAUCUCCAAUAAUUUUUAAAUACAAUACAAUAGUUUGAACAUUGAAAAGUUGAAAUUUAUUUGCUAAGGAUUGUAUGAUCAAAAGUAUUUUUGGUAUAGUUAGAUACUAUCAAACCAAAAUUUCAUUAUUCAACUAUUAUUAUAUGUUGGUAUGACAUAUGAUAACCAAAAUUUUCAAAACCAAACCAGUGGUCGAAUCGAUCAAGCCACCAGUUCAUCAGUUUGACUAAUUUAAUUAAAGAAAACAUUAAAAUAUCAAAUAACUAAACAAACUAAAAAAAUUAGUUCAACUGCCCAAUUCCUUGGUCAACCGGUCUAAUAGCUUUGUCUGAACUGAUAUCCUUGCCGAUUUUAGUCUAACCAAUCUGAUUGUCUGAUCUGGUUCAGUUAAUUUUUUUAAUGAUUUUUUUUAUAAUCUUAUAUCAAUUUUAAUAUUUUUGAAUAAUUUUUAUAAGUUUGUACGUUUGUAUAAAAUUUUAAAUAUUUCAAAAUAUGUUUUAGUUAUUUUAUAUUUUUUUAUAAUUUAUUAGAAUUCAUACAAAUAUUAUUUUAUAAUAUUUAUAAGUUUUACAAUUUUUUAUCUUAUAUAAGUUUAUGUAAAUUUUAAUAUAUAUUUUUUUAUAAUUUGUAUAGCAUUUUCUGAUUAUUUUAUAAUUUUUAACAAUUUUUUUGAGUUUUUAUUAUUUAUAUUUUUAAAUAUUUUGUGUGAAAAAAUAUUAAAUUAAAUCAGAAGUUGUCAUGUUGCACUAUCUUACUGACAUGCCAAUUUAUUUUAACAAUCAACAUGAUCAACUAAGGGUUCCGUUAACGAUGGGGCUUAAAUUCAAUUGGAUGCAAUUUUAAUACAAGAAUUAAUUAUUUUUCUACACUUCCUUAAGGUUUUCUUGACACAAACUUUUAUUUGAUUAUAAUUAAAAUUAAUUUUUUUUAGUUUUAAGUUGUUUAGAUUUUUCUUAAGAGAAGUAUUGUAUAUGAAAACCUACAUUGAAACUUUCAAAUAUUUAUUCUCACUUCCAUUUUGGCAACCUCUCAACAUGGAAAAAUAUGAGUUUGAAUGGUAUUAAGAAAGAAGCCAUGAUUUUGAUUGUUGAAAUUAAUAACUAAGUUACUCUGAACCUUCCAGGUUAUGUGGAAUAAAAUGCAACUCGCUUUAUACUUUUCCUGGAGAUUCUUUUGAAACACCGAAUGUUUAUUGAGUAAUGUUUGAAAGAAAUAAUAUUUCUAUGGUCAUAUUAACAGUUUAGUGAAAGAGAGUACUAGAAAAUUAUUAAAAAUGCAACACCCUGAUGAAUCAUUAUACCACUACCCAAAACUAAAACUACUAAUACUACCGGCCAUUUCGGAUAAAACACCACUGCUGCUAUUGGAGAAAGAAAACAGACUUUAUUUAUACAUACACUACACCAAAUUUGGUUUUUAGCGGCGGGUUGUAGCGGCGUUAUACAAAAAACGCCGGUAAAAAUCGAGCAUUAGCGGCGCUUAAAGAAAAUCGCCGCUAAAGACAGAGCAUUAGUGGCGUUUUAUAAAAAAGGCCGCCAAAAAUAAGCAUUAGCGACAUUUCCAGGAAAAACGCCGCAAAAAAAUAAAAUACAACGGCAUCGUUUAGUGGCCUUCGGUGGCCUUAGUGGCGUUUUUGGUCUAGCGCCGCUAAUGGUCUGUGUUUUUAGCAAAAUACAAUGGCGUCGUUUAGGGGCCCUCGGUGGCCUUAGUGGCGUUUUUUGUCUAGCGCCGCUAAUGGUCUGUGUUUUUAGCAAAAUACAACGGCAUCGUUUAGUGGCCUUCAGUGGCCUUAGUGGCGUUUUUUGUCAAGCGGCGCUAAUGGUCUGUGUUUUUAGCGGUGUUUUCAAAAAAAAUGCCGCAAAAAAUAAAAUACAACAGCGUCGUUUAGUGGCCUUCAGUGGCCUUAGUGGCGUUUUUGGUCUAGCGCCGCUAAUGGUCUGUGUUUUUAGCAAAAUACAACGGCGUCGUUUAGUGGCCUUCGGUGGCCUUAGUGGCGUUUUUUGUCUUGCGCCGCUAAUGGACUGUGUUUUUAGCGGCGUUUUCAGGAUAAACGCCGCAAAAAAUAAAUUACAACGGCGCCGUUUAGUGGCCUUCAGUGGCCCUAGUGGCGUUUUUGGUAUAGCACCGCUAAUGGUCUUUUUUUAGCGGCGUUUUCUGGAAAAACGCCGCAAAAAAUAAAAUACAACGGCUUCGUUUAGUGGCCUUCGAUGGCCUUUUACCUUCAUUGGGUUAUUAUUUAUAAUAAUUAUUUAAAAUUGAACUUAUUUCUAAUUGAUUAUUUAAAGUUCUUCCAAAAAAAUAACACGUACAAAUAAUUUGAAAUAAAACACUUGGAAAAAUGAAAAGACUAUUAUUUAAAAUAAUUUUAAAAUUAUUUGGGUACAUGAUUAGUAAGUGUUUUUUAAUUUAUAUUUAAAAAAUUUAUUAUAUAAUCGUAAAAGAGAUAUUCUUAAUUUUAAAAUGUUGAAUUAAUUAUCACUAUAGUUUAGGGUUUUCAGUUUAGGGUAUAUGAGUUAGGGGUUAUAUAUGAGUUAGGGAUUUAGGGCCGGGUUUACGAAUUCAGGGGUCGGGUUAGGGUAGUUUUGGGUUUAGAUUAUUAAUUUUUAUUUAUAUUUUAAAUAUGUUAUUAUGUAGUUGUAAAAGAUAAUAAUAAAAUUGUUUACAGUUUUUAAUUACUUUAUGAUAUAUGAGAAAUUUAAGAAUUAAGGCCGGUUUAGGAGUUCAUAUAAUUUUAAAGUUUAGGGAGUACUAUAUAUAUAUGGAUUUAUAUAUGGAUUAUAGAUUAGGGUUUUUGCUUAAUUAAGGGUUGGCCGGGAUUUAAGGUUUAGGGGUUAGGGGUUAGAUGUUAGUGGUUAAGACUUAGGGAUUUUGUGUUUAGGGUUUCAGGGGUCAGGUUACGAUUUUGGUUUAGAUUAAUUUUUUUAUUUAUAUUUUAAAUAUGUUCUUAUGUAAUUGUAAAAGAUGUAUAAAUUAGGGUUUAAUUAAUUAUGCCUUGAGAGAUAUAUAUAUAAUAGAUAGAGAACGGAAAAUCUUCAGAAGGUACAGGAUCGAGCCGCUUUGACUUUAUGCAACAUGGAGAAAAUCUUCCCACCUUCCUUCUUCACCAUUAUGGUUCACUUGAUAAUCCAUCUCCCGCACGAAGCAAUUCUUGGUGGACCUGUUUUCUAUCGAUGGAUGUAUCCCAUAGAAAGGUGUUAAUUAAAAUUUUUAAAAUUUUCCUUCAUUCACCUCUAUGCCCUUUAGUUACAACUUUUGAUAAUGUUGUAUAACGUGUUUAGGUUCCUAUCCAAAUUAAAGUCUUACUGCCGCAACAAGCGAUAUCCAGAAGGAUCGAUUGCUGAAGGCUACUUGGCAGAAGAAUGUAUGACCUUCUGUUCAAGAUAUUUGGAAGAUGUUGAAACAAGGUUGAACAGACCAAAUAGGAAUGCUGGACUCACGGACCAUAAUUUAGCCGAUACUUAUUUGUUCCAAAGUUUUGGAGAACCAAUCGGCAAAGUUGAAAUUACAGAAUUAGAUCAUUUAUCGUGGGUACAAGCACAUCGAUAUGUUCUGUUUCACCACGAAUCAAUGGAACCUUUACGGAAGUAAGUUCUACAAAUUUGAUAAAUAUUUAUCAAACUAAAAAUUGUUUAUCUUCUAACAAAGUGAACAUUUUUUUAACAUAGUAAGUACAAACAAAUAUUGAGAUCUCGUUCGCGCUCCCGAAGAACACAACAUCGAGAUAUCAAUAAGUUGUUUACAGAAUCUUUUUAUGAAUGGUUAAGCCAAACGGUAUGCAGUUGGAGCUUCCGCUUACAAAUAAUAAUGUUUUCUUAUAACAUUUUUAAUUACUCAGUUUACUUUCCAUUCAAUAGGUUUGGAGUGGGAAGAACGUAAACGACGAAGUUAAAUGGCUCUCCCAAGGUCCAAAUCGAGUGGUUAAAAGAUAUAGUGCGUUCAUCAUCAACGGAUUUAGAUUUCAUACAAAAUAUCGCGAGAGGUUGAGGAGAACGCAAAAUUAUGGAAUAGUUGUUAAUUCUGCAAUUACAAGUUAUGCUAGUACUAGGGACAAUAAUCCUGUCGAGGGAAAUGUGGAAUAUUUCAGACAUCUUACUGACAUAAUUGAGUUGGAUUACUACGGCAAAUGGAAAGUUGUCAUAUUUCGAGGUGAUUGGGCCGAUGUUAAUACAGCUCGUGGAAUUAACCAAGAUCAAUUUGGUUUUACAAUGGUGAACUUUAACCGAUUGAUUCACACAGGACAACAACUGAUAGAUGAGCCGUAUGUAUUCUCAUCUCAAGUCAAACAAGUUUUUUACUCAAAAGAUCCAACUGAUGAGGGUUGGUACGUUGUACUCCGUAACAUCCCUAGAGACUUGUUUGACAUGGGCAGUGGAAGUAGAGAUAACAUCGACGACAGAUCAAAAACUUUGUCCUUUCCAGAACAAAACUUAAACGAUAAUAUCCCUAGUACUAGUGCACAAUUUCAAUGGGUUCGUCAGGAUACGGCUGAAGAUAUUUAUGAAUAAUGAUGUAGUAAGAUUUUACGAUUGUUUAAUUAUAUGUAAUAUCAUAAUUUAAAUCUUGGUCUUAUUUAUAUAUUUCACCUAUUUUAUAUGUGCUAUUAUUGUUGUAAUUAGUUAUUAAGUUUUCAACUAUUUUAUGUGUAUUGCAGAUAAAAUGCCUAGAAGAAAAAUUCUAAGGGGAAGAAUUGUUCAAAAUGAUCCAAACUCGACAGAAACAAAUAGUAAUGAACAACAGACAUCAAUUGGAUCUUCAAAUGUUCUGAUUACAUCUGACGAGCCUACAGAAGUUCAAAGUAAUUUUACAUUUAAUUUACAUGCGUGUUGACUUAUAAUUGAUUUAUUUUUCAAAUUAUUAUAUUAUAAUAUGUCAUUUGUAGCUGAAAAUGGUGGGACGCGUAGAGGUCGAGGACGUACGCUACUUAGAGAGUUAUACGAGUUAGAUCCAGUCGAGCGUGUCAAAGUUGGACGAAACAGUUUUGGUCAGCCUGUUGGAUCAGAAGCUCGACUUUUAGUAGGAUACAUGGGCAUUUUAGCACGAAAUGCGAAUAUGUUGCCUAUCAACUACAAGUCAUGGCAUCAAAUGCCCGAUAGCAACAAAAACCAAGCCCUCGAUAAUAUUAAGGUAACAAAAUGUUAAUUUCAUCUGUAAUGCUCGGGAAAUAGUUUCAUUUAUAUUUACUUUAUUAACUUGUGUUUUUUGUCGGCGAGGUUUGCUUUAGAGGUCUCGGAUGCUUAUGUAAAGAAGGCAUUGGGAAAAAGAUGGAGAGACCAUAAAAGUACUUUGAAGAAAUAUUAUUAUAAGACAAAACCAACCCUCGAUGAGAAAUUGCAAAAUGUCCCGCCCGGUAUGCUGAGGUACCAAUGGAAAGAUGCGGUUAGAUUUUGGCAUUCGAAGAAAGGCAAGGUACGACGUACUUCCAAACUAUUGUAAUUAUUUUGGUUUAUAGUAUUUACUAUUUACGUACUAAAAAUUUUAUAACGUAGGAUCGUGAACGAGUUGGAAUAAGCAGCAGGUAGAAACAAAAAUUCACUCACACAGCCGGGUCGAGAAGUUUUGCAUGUGUAGCUGAGGCGGAGGUAUUUUUAAUUUUUUAAUAUUCUCAAAUAUGUAUAACUUUCCAUUAAAUAAUAUUUUUACUAUUAUAUUGUAGGAACAAUCGUCCGGUCAAAAAGUUGGACGCCUUCAACUUUUUGAAAUUACACAUAAGAAGAAAGAUGGAUCUGCUAUGACUCCAGAAGCUGGUGAAAUUAUGGUACGUUUACUUAAUACGAUUUGACUUGUUUUAGUUAUUUAUAGUGUUUAUUUUCUAAUGGUUUAAUUCAUUGCUUAUAAUGCGACUAUUGUUAUGUUGCAUUUGUUUUUUUAAUAUAUAUUGAGUAAGAAACUAUGUGAUUUAUUUAUUAGGAAAAACUAAAGGAUAAAAAGGCGGAGUACGAAGCGAUUGCUUCUGGUGAUAGUUCUGUUCAUCUUGAAGACAUUGAUAACCAGAUUAUUACUGAAGUUUUGGGUCCUGAAAGGUAUGGUCGGGUUUGAUUUCAAGGAUCUUUUAUCAGCCCAACCCAAUAUUUUGGAUCCAGCUCGCACCAAUACAUGGCUUCGGGGAGUCAGUCUCAAGCUGAAGUUCAGAGGUUAAAAGACCAGAUGGCUCAGAUGCAAGCGACCACAUUUGAGGUUCAAAGAAAAUAUGAAGAAAUUCAGCAACAACUUAAAGCAGAGGCGGCAGCGAGGAAAGCAGAGGCUGCAGCGAGAGAAGCAGAGGUUCAAAAGAAAUAUGAAGAACUCCAGCUACGACUUCAAGUAGAUGCGGCAUCGAGAGAAGCAGAGCAAAGCAAAAAGUACGACGAACUUCAAUAGCAGCUUCAUAUUAUGAUGAAGAUGUUUCAGCAGUCGCAACUUUCGCCGUCAUAGUGUAUAUUGCAUAAAUAUUUUUUAUCAUUUUAACUUUUAACGUUUUUGUAAUGAAAAUUAUGGAUUCACUUUUAUUUAUUGAUAUUAAUAUUAUUUUAUUCGUUUAAUUUGAAAUAUUAUAUAAAUUUAUUAUUUUUGGCUAGUUUAGAUCUGGUUGCUUUUUAUUUGUUGUUGUAAGAGGGCUGAAAAAAUAGAAAAUUUUAUUUUAAAAAAAUCCCAAAAUUAGUGGCUUUUUUUAAAAAAGCGCCGCUAAAAGUCAUAUCAUAUAGUGGCGUUUGUGAAGUAAGCGCCGCGAAAGAACACUACUUUUAACGGUGUUUUUUUCCUAAGCGCCGCUAAAGAACAUUACUUUUAGCGGCCUUUUUUUCCUAAGCGCCGCUAAAGAACAUGAUCUUUAGCGGCGUUUUUUCCCAAGCGCCGCUAAAGAACAUGAUCAUUAGCGGCGUUUUUUUCCUAAGCGCCGCUAAAGAUCAUAUCCCUUAGCGGCAUUUUUUCCCAAGCGCCGCUAAAGAACAUGAUCAUUAGCGGCGUUUUUUUCCUAAGCGCCACUAAAGAUCAUGUCCUUUAACGGCGUUUUUUCCCAAGUGCCGCUAAAGAACAUGAUCAUUAGCGGCGUUUUUUUCCUAAGCGCUGCUAAAGGACAUGAGCUUUAGCGGCGUUUCUUUCUGUAAACGCUGCAAAAGUUAGCGACGUUAUCGUUAGCGGUAUUUUUUGCGGCGCUUCCUCAACCGCCGCAAAUGCCUUUAGUGGCGUUAAAAAGCGCCGCUAAAGGCCUAAAAAACGCUGCUAAAAACCUAUUCUGGUGUAGUGAUAUGCGUUCAGAGUGAAUUAAAAAAAUAUGCUGAUUUAUUUUUCUUUUUCUUUUUAAUUUAAGUAUUUAGGCUGUUUAUAUAUAUAUAUAUAUAUAUCCACAGAUUUUGAAGAGAGAAAUGAAAACGCGUCCUAUAUAUAAAACGUAUUUUUAGGAGAUAAAAAUGAAAAUGCGCCUUGUAGGGCGCGUUUUUAGGGCAACUAUAACUUUUCCAACUAUCACAAUUCCAACGACUAUACCCCAACAGCCAUAUUUUUUCUUUUAUAAACCUCUCCAAACUUCGUUCUUUUCAAUUCAAACUCCAUUAUUAAUUCUCAAUUCUCUCAAUAAUUUCAUUUUUAAUAUUUCUCUGAAUCCUAUUCUCUUCAAUUUUAUUUUAUUCCUUAUCAUUUGUAAAAUGACAAAUUAGCUUAUUUGUUUGGAUGACAAGCACAUCUCCGGCGUUCAAUUACAAAUCGUAAGAAAAUAUUAUGAAAUUAUUUAAUUUUAAUUAAUUAAUUACAAUGUUGUUAACAUUAUUAAAUUUUUUUAUGUUUAUAUACUCAAGUCGAAGAUCAAAUUUUGGAGCCGUAUAUACACAAUUUAAGUAGGAGUGCAUCGUUUUCCAUUCAUGGACACUUGUGAGAUGCAGGAUUCUUAUACGUGGCUCACGUGCUUUGGUGGAAAGAUGGAGACCCGAGGCACACACAUUCUAUCUUCCCUGCGGUGAGUGUACAAUUACACUCAAGGACAUUAGUUAACAACUUGGUCUACUAGUUGGUGGGGAAGUCGUUACGGGGCCAGUGGCCAGAGGUGAGUGUCAAUUGGAGUGCAACAUGCGAGCAACUACUAGGGAAGGUGUCAAACAAGUUUAAGGGUACCAAAUCGAGAUGGGAUGGUUGGAGGGCAACUUCAAACGAAUUGAGGGCUUUACGAGCGAAGUUGAAAAAGAACAAUUUGCACAUGCAUUCAUAUUGAGGUUGGUUGAAGGUUUGCUUAUACCAAAUAAAUUUCAAAAUAUGGUACAUUUAAGGUAUCUACUACUACCAGCUGACUUGAAAGAAGCAAGACGACUUAGUUGAGGAUCAGUGAUGCUGGCAACAUUGUACUGAAAAAUGUGUUGAGCGAUAAACCAAAAUAAGUUAAAAUUGAUGAUUGCAUUCUCCUCUUCAAUUAUGGGCAUGGUAUCGACAACCUGAUAAGUGCUAAAAGUAACAUGUUUUGAUUCCCGAUUGUCCAAUCAAGAAUAACUAGGUAAAUAUUUUUGCCAAAAUUUACGUCCCAAAGUUCUGAUGCGUGGAACUUAUAGGCUCCAUCUUCAACAAGAAAUCCAUAGCUGCAAGGAUUGAAGCUCAACACGCGGGAGUGAUUCCGAGGGCUACUGAAAUUGAAGUAAAACACCUUCAAUCCUUGAGGAAUAGCCGUCUGGCAGCAUCUAAUGCCGGAGCAAGACCCAUUUAUCACAUUGCCCGCGUCACCACAAAAUGUUAAACAUCCGGUUGAAAAGUUUUUUUUUUGAAAUUCUGUGUGAAGAGUCAGGUUCGAAGAAAGCCUCGAUGUAGGCGAUAGUGUCACAACCGAUGGCCGUGAACUUGUUUCUGGUAUGAGAUAUGGCUAAUUUCGUAACCGACUAAAGUAUCUGGAUAUAAACUACUCCCUGAUGAAUUAUAACAAUCAUGACCUAUGAAGUAAUUAUAAGUAACGCGCAAAUGACCAUCCAGAGAGAUGUCGAGAACUUCUAUAUCACCAUCCCAUAAGAAUGCUUUUGGGGGGUUAAAAG